AGUGAACGCUGGCGGUAGGCCUAACACAUGCAAGUCGAACGGCAGCACAGGAGAGCUUGCUCUCUGGGUGGCGAGUGGCGGACGGGUGAGGAAUACAUCGGAAUCUACUUUUUCGUGGGGGAUAACGUAGGGAAACUUACGCUAAUACCGCAUACGACCUACGGGUGAAAGCAGGGGACCUUCGGGCCUUGCGCGAUUGAAUGAGCCGAUGUCGGAUUAGCUAGUUGGCGGGGUAAAGGCCCACCAAGGCGACGAUCCGUAGCUGGGCUGGGAGGAUGAUCAGCCACACGGGAAAGGAGACACGGUCCAGACUCCUACGGGAGGCAGCAGUGGGGAAUAUUGGACAAUGGGCGCAAGCCUGAUCCAGCCAUACCGCGUGGGUGAAGAAGGCCUUCGGGUUGUAAAGCCCUUUUGUUGGGAAAGAAAUCCAGCCGGCUAAUACCUGGUUGGGAUGACGGUACCCAAAGAAUAAGCACCGGCUAACUUCGUGCCAGCCGCCGCCGUAAUAC
rnacentral:rRNA from 1 species